AAUUAAACAACUAAGAGUGUAUGGUGGAUGCCUUGGCAGUUUAAGCCGAUGAAGGACGCAGCAGCCGGCGAUACGCUUCGGUGAGGUGGCAAGCAACCUUUGACCCGGAGAUUUCCGAAUGGGGCAACCUAUAUGCUGGAAGAGCAUAUGUCUUUGUACCGUGGUGGUAUGAAGAACGGGAACCGCGUGAAGUGAAACAUCUCAGUAACGCGAGGAAAAGAAACGAAGGGCAUACUCUGUUUGAAUUUUUGAUAUUGAAAUUCAAACAGGGUAUUGUCAUAUUCCCCCAGUAGUGGCGAGCGAACGGGGAACAGCCCAAACUAACUUUGUGUCCCAGCCCCAGUUUCUUUGCGAAAGCAAAAAACUGGGGCUGGGUAAAGCUUACAGGCGUUGCAAGGAUUAGGGUAACAACAUCAAUUCGUUUGAUCGCUGUAACGAUCAAGAAGAUCAAUGUGAGUUGUCUAGCCGAAUGGCCCUGGAACGGCCAGCCAAAGAGCGUGAAAGCCGCGUAGCGCGAAAGACCUCUAAUAUCUUCUGAGUUGGUUGUUAAGUACAACUAGACACGUGAAAUCUAGUUGGAAUUUGUGUCGACUACGACAUAAGGCUAAAUACUUAAACUGACCGAUAGUGAACUAGUACCGUGAGGGAAAGGUGAAAAGCAGCCCGGUGAGGGCGAUGAAAUAGAAUCUGAAACCAUACACUUACAAUCGAGUGGGAGCCCAGCCCCACUUUUGUCGGAUAUCGUUUGUUGCGAUGAAUUUUGUCUAACUAAUUGACAUUAUUUGUUUCGAUAAAUGCAAUCGGUCAAAAGUGGGGCUGGGUGACCGCGUGCCUAUUGAAGAAUGACCCAACGAGUUAGAGGUACGUUGCUUACUUAAGCCAUACUCAUGGCGAAGGUAAAGUGAAAGCGAGCGUUAAUAGCGCGAAAAAAGAUUAAAGAUAAAAGAGUAAAAUGAAAAAUAUUUGUGUGCUUCGCACUCAAUUAUUUUAAUCUUUUCUCUUUAAAUUUUAAUCUUUUAGGUAGCGUGCCCUAAACCCGAAACCCGGUGAGCUACCCUUGGUCAGGAUGAACGCGGUGUAACAACCGCGGGAGGUCCGAACGCUAGUAUGUUGCAAAAUACCGCGAUGAACUGAGGGUAGGGGAGAAAUUCCAAUCGAACUGGGUAAUAGCUGGUUCUCCUCGAA
rnacentral:rRNA from 1 species